AAAAAGCUGAGAAAAUCCAAAGGGAUGCAAUAUAUUUCAGUAUCAGUACUAAUACACAGAUUGCAACAGCUAUAGUCUACAGUACUUUUUGGGAGACCCUCAGAAGUUGAACAACUUGGUGUCAAUAUUAAAUUUAUUAUCAAUUCAUGAAAGAAUUUUGAAGUUUCAACAGGUGUUCAAUGCUGAAAAAUCAAAGAACUAGGGGUAUCUGUGUGUACUGAUUGGUAAAGUUUUUUGAAGAGGAGUCUGGCAGAGACCAUGACAUUUUCUCAUCUAAAGCUGAUCUAUAGCUAUGACAGGGAUGGUGAAAUAAAUUAAUUCAUGUUUUCUCCCAAAACCAGUGAUGGCAAACCUAGAGUGACUGGAACAUCAAAAGUUCUACAAAAUUUUGUCCAAAAGUUGUAUGAAUUUUUUGCUGCCACAUGUAUUUAUCAAUUGUACCUAAACAAGUUGGUCUGUAUUAUGGAUCAUCUACUAGUAUCACACAUACCCAAUGAGAUUACUGUCGGAGUCCUAAUAGUAUCUACAUUUAUAUCACAAGUACUAUUUAUUGUGUCAUUAAAUCUUGAAAUUCACUUUCAAAGUCUGUAUCGAAUGUUUAUCACUCUGCUUUGAUACAAUUUACUGUCGCUAUCAAAUUUUAACCUCAGCAUUUCUGUGAAAAUUUUUUAUUCUUUUGUGUACAUUUUUAAAUUCUAGACAUAAUUGUAACUUCACAUUAUUGCAGAAUUUCAAACCAUUUUCAUUUCUAUAAAUCAAUUUUGUACAUUGAGUUACUGUAAAUGUAUUAUAUUUAGCGUGUAAGAUAUUUGGCGGAAAUUGAUUUUUGAACAAUUUAGCAUAGAUAUGAUUUAGCGGAUAACUUAAUGUUCUUAUUAAUAUGUAUAUUUGCAAAACAUUUAGCAUUGCACUUGAAUUAAUGGAAGUUUCUGCCAAAAGCACUAAAAAGAAUACACAGCCAAGUGUGAUAUAUUUACAGUAUGAUAUUCAUUAUUUUUGACCUGAAAAUAAGUAAAAAAAAAGGGGGGGGGGUUGAAAUAAUUUAAAUGAAAAGUUUUGACAUUUCUAAUGUAUUUAUAAAUAUUUCCCUUUAAUAAGAAUAUUAUUGUUCCAUGGUAACAGCAUGUUGCAAAUGAUAUUAUGAACAUAUUUUAUAUUUUUAUAUUUACAAAAUGACCAUUUUGUCACCUGUUAAAUUUUUUUCUUUAAAUAACACUCUUACUAUG